AUUGAACGCUGGCGGCAGGCUUAACACAUGCAAGUCGAGCGGUAGCACAGGGGAGCUUGCUCCCUGGGUGACGAGCGGCGGACGGGUGAGUAAUGUCUGGGAAACUGCCUGAUGGAGGGGGAUAACUACUGGAAACGGUAGCUAAUACCGCAUAACGUCGCAAGACCAAAGAGGGGGACCUUCGGGCCUCUUGCCAUCAGAUGUGCCCAGAUGGGAUUAGCUAGUAGGUGGGGUAAUGGCUCACCUAGGCGACGAUCCCUAGCUGGUCUGAGAGGAUGACCAGCCACACUGGAACUGAGACACGGUCCAGACUCCGACGGGAGGCAGCAGUGGGGAAUAUUGCACAAUGGGCGCAAGCCUGAUGCAGCCAUGCCGCGUGUGUGAAGAAGGCCUUCGGGUUGUAAAGCACUUUCAGCGAGGAGGAAGGUGGUGAGCUUAAUACGUUCAUCAAUUGACGUUACUCGCAGAAGAAGCACCGGCUAACUCCGU
rnacentral:rRNA from 1 species